rnacentral:rRNA from 1 species
UCCUGGCUCAGGACGAACGCUGGCGGCGUGCUUAACACAUGCAAGUCGAGCGAAGCAGACCUUUCGGGGGAUGCUUAGCGGCGGACGGGUGAGUAACACGUGGGUAACCUGCCUCAAAGAGGGGGAUAGCCUCCCGAAAGGGAGAUUAAUACCGCAUGACAAAUAUAAUCCGCAUGGAUUAUACUUUAAAGGAGAAAUCCGCUUUGAGAUGGACCCGCGGCGCAUUAGCUAGUUGGCAGGGCAAAGGCCUACCAAGGCGACGAUGCGUAGCCGACCUGAGAGGGUGAACGGCCACAUUGGAACUGAGAGACGGUCCAGACUCCUACGGGAGGCAGCAGUGGGGAAUAUUGCACAAUGGGCGAAAGCCUGAUGCAGCAACGCCGCGUGAGUGAAGAAGGUUUUCGGAUUGUAAAGCUCUGUCAUAUGGGACGAUAGUGACGGUACCAUAUGAGGAAGCCACGGCUAACUACGUGCCAGCAGCCGCGGUAAUACGUAGGUGGCAAGCGUUGUCCGGAAUUACUGGGCGUAAAGAGUGCGUAGGCGGAUAUUUAAGUGAGAUGUGAAAUACCCGGGCUUAACCCGGGCAGUGCAUUUCAAACUGGAUAUCUAGAGUGCAGGAGAGGAGAACGGAAUUCCUAGUGUAGCGGUGAAAUGCGUAGAGAUUAGGAAGAACACCAGUGGCGAAGGCGAUUCUCUGGACUGUAACUGACGCUGAGGCACGAAAGCGUGGGUAGCAAACAGGAUUAGAUACCCUGGUAGUCCACGCCGUAAACGAUGAGUACUAGGUGUAGGGGGUAUCGACCCCCCCUGUGCCGCAGUAAACACAAUAAGUACUCCGCCUGGGAAGUACGAUCGCAAGAUUAAAACUCAAAGGAAUUGACGGGGGCCCGCACAAGCA